UACUUGAUUAUAUGGUGUUUUUCUCUUAUGUAAUGUAAUAUGUGUGUAUUUUUGCUUUGGUACAUACAUCUCUUUAAAAGUCAAAGCUAUUAUUUUAAUCGUACAACCAGAACUGUCUGUUGUAUUCGUCCAAACUUGACUUUGGUAUUAAAGAAAGUAUGAAUUUAAAUUUUUAUUUUAUUUGAUAGGGACGAUGCAAUUUAACAUAGUUCCAGUACAGAGCAUGAAACUGAUGUGCUGCACAGAGAGUUUAUAGCUAUUGCUAAUUUUCAACUCUUGUCCCUAGUUGGGCUUUACAUGUACUGUGCAAUUAAAACAUACAGCUUUCAUUAUCAUAAAACCACUGUACACUACAGAUAUGGAAGAACAAUAAAACACACACUCAAAUACAUUGAUUGUGAUUUACAGUUUAAAAGAAAAAAUAAAAAACAAUACAAUACAAUUAGCUUAAAAUGGGCACAGCUCUGGUUUGUUUUUAUCUAGAAUGACUUUGUUUAGUGUUUUAGUGCUCAGAGCAGAGGGUUGUCUCACCUUGUUAUAUUUUAUUUACAGUUUGUCAAAUGAUAUCAAUCAGAUCUUGUAGUCCAUGCACACACCCAUGUGCACCCAUAGCAACCCUGAAAACCACAAAGUCCCCCCUCCCACAUAACAAAUCCCAAUUUAACCCCUGUCAGCAAGGUAACAAUUCCACUUUGCCCCGCUGUUGUGUGGAAAACUACUCGUGCCGUGUACAGCAUGAAAUCACUGUUUCUUUAUAUUUGACUGACUUCCGUAAUAAAACAGCAUGAUUUUGUUUAGUUGGGCUGUAAACAGACAGAGUAGUUGCUCUUCUGUUGUGUUUCUGACAAAUUAACCACAGGUGUCACCAAAUCAACCAGGAAUGAAAUCUUGAGAACUAUAACUGUAACUCUUGGCUAAACAAUGACAAACGAUAUUAUCCUGAUGAAAGCCACCACAGAACAGAAAAUGCCCCUAUUUGUUGUUUAGUUUGGAGGAUCUGCUGCCAAAUUUCUGUACAGUAAAUGAGCAGCUGGGAGUAUAUGUGACUUUUGUUUGAAAGUUGUGAUUCGCCUUUUAAUUGGACAGUGUUAAACGUCACAUAUCAUGAAAAACUCACUUUGUCAGUGUUUGGGCACAUACGUUUGGGUCUCUGAUGUGCUUACCAACACAAACUGUGAUAUUAGACAACCCAGUCAGUUUUUUGUGGGCUAGCUAGGUCCCAAAAUGUGUGACUGUGAGCCAUUCAGAUUUGCCUCCUCAUACAUCAAGUAGGGGCUCAUUGGAAUUGUAUCGCCCCCCCAUCUGAGUAUCUCUACCCACAGCGGACAGAAGAACUGAGUGGAUAAAGUUUAUUUUUUAUGGCAACGUUCCAGUUACAGCUGGUAAAAACCUGUAUGUGUGUGUUAACCACUUUGUGUCUGACUGCUUUACCGACCUGGGUCAGUACAACGCAGGACUGGCCACGAAACUUUUCUGGAAGAGGGAUCAAUACCAACUAUCCGUGACAGAACUGCCAACGAGGAAAAUGUAAGUAUUUAAAAAAUAUUUGUGUUAAGCACUAGCUAACGCUAACGCUGAGGUAAUAGAUGUAAUUUUCUUGAAAGUUACUGACGUUACUUGCAGGAUCCACAAUAACAUUAUUGAUAUUAGUUUGUUAGUUAAAUGUCUAUAAGAUGAACUGUCUUAUCAACACUCAUAAUAACAAGAGAGUAAAAUGAGAGAAUGGAUGGUGAUGUCCACUUUGUUUCUUGCUGCUGAUUUUAUAGAGAUUCACAAGAAGUUUAUGACUUGCUGUGAAUCAUGGAGGCCAUUUCACCUCCGGCCCCGUCCCACAUGUAGACGGUCUGCAGAUUAAGUUACAGAUGUGUUCCACUCAGGUAGCCAGGGGUUAGCGACGUUAGCAUGUUGUGCUAGGGUAAAAUGUGUUUUACGACCAUCUGUAUUUCUUAAUACCUAAGGGAAUGUGUACAGUGUAUAUUUACAUGUGCUCUCCACCAUCUAUUAUUUCUCCUUCCAGGACUCUACCUGGCAGCCCUGCACGUUAAUGAAAAUACUGGGUGUCCCCAAGCAGCAACAUCAGCUGGCGAGCAGCUAUUUAAAGUCAAUUUCCCAAAGUCCAAGAAGGAAGAAUGCACAGAAAAGCCAGUGAAAGCAGAGCCAACCUUCUAUUACGUGGAUGAACUGUUUUUCCAGGACUCUGCCCCAUAUGGUUGAGGUGCUGAAGAUCCCCAUCCCUGAGGAUCUCUCUGCCCAGUUUGAAAGACCAGAGAGGCAGGAAGCAAUAGCCAGCUACAUGUAGAGGUUCAGGUCUGAAUGACGCAUACCUUCCUUGAGCGUCAGGGAAUUCAGUCCAUAUCCGUAGCACCAGGAAGGCAGGCAGCUCGGAUUCUCCAGCCCAGAAAGCCCCAACACCAGCUUACAAAGCUUCUGUAGGCCGAGUAUCUGUAAUGGCUGAGCAAAGGUUACGUGAUAUUUAGUCAACAGUAAAUGGUGACACCCAUUUAUAGUGUGUCCAUCCUACUAUGGCUUAUGUGAAACCUGACUGAUAAAACAAAUUUGGUUGUUUUUGUAAACAAUACUUUUUAUUAGCAUUUUUCCCUAUUUUUAAACACUCAGGACUGCUGUACAAGGUGGUACAUUGAAUAACUUUGUUUCAAAAGUUGUGUGGUAUUUGCUGUAAUGAUCUUUAUGACAAUAAAAGCUAAGUCUAUA